UGGUUUUGGUCUGGUUUGCCUUGUUGGGUGUAGGUUUAGGUUUUUUUGUCCCCUUUGAUGUGUCUGUUCUCUGUUUUUUCCUUGAGUCUGUUUGGUUUUAGUCUUUUCUUUCUUUUAGAGUCUGGGGACAGAAUGGUGUCUUGGUGCUCUCUCCCUGAUUCAACUUCAUUUUUUGGAGGGCUAAGAGUUCCAAUCCCAGCUUUACUUGCUUGAGCUUCUGAUAUUCUAAAGGCUAAGAAGGUGAGAUCUUUGGAAUCAUUGAUAGAUUGUUAUACUUCCUCUUGUCAACUCCUAAGUCUUUGGAGGGCUAAGAGGAUGCUUGAGAGCUAAUUUUUUUUUUUUGGAAAAGAAGUCAUGAUGCUGUGUUUUUGAAAUUUCCAAUACUCCUUCAAGCUUUGGAGGACCAAGAGUACAAGAUCGGGCCCUUUGGGCGUUUUGCAGAUCAAAAAAAAAAAUAGAGUACAAGAUCAGGAUGCUAUCUGGAAAUCCAUAAUCCAUUACUCUUUCAACUCCUCAAUUUUGGAGGGUUAGAAGUAUAGAUCAGUGGAUCCUUGUCUCUUCUUUCAACUCCCAACUCCGGGGAGGGCUAAGAGACCAAUUGGAGGUGUAGCCAACACUGAGGGGCUGGUUAUUGAUGCAUUGGAUUAUGCCUAUUUCUGAUUCAACCACUGUUUUCUUUUGUUGAUGCUGGAUCUGAACUAAAUGAUGAACUGAAUUAGUGCUGGAACUUGCUGGAAAUCUAUUGUACUGUUGAGAUUCACUAUCUAAUGGGAUUGCUACUGCGGUUUUGGUACUAAUGGAGCUGAGCUGAAGGAUGAUCUGAAUAUCGAUUUCUUGAUACUCAUUCCUGGUGGGAAAAAUGGUGGAACUUUUGCUACUCUACUGAGUUUCGCAGCUCUUUCAACACCAAUGAUUUGGAGGGCUAAGAGCUGUAACCACAAGCUGCUUUUCUCAGGUGGACACCCUGUUAUAUCUGAUCCAAAUGUUUGAAGAAGAUGUCUACGGAUGCCAAAGGAUUUCAAUCUGCUGAUAUUUGGUGACUUCCCUUAAUGUUAAGGACUUUUGCAAGAUGAUACCAUUGGUUGUUGGAUGAUCAUGAUGAAGUAUGGCGUCCCUCAAUGCCAACACAACUGAUAUUGGGAUGAUGGUUGGAAGGCCUUUGUUCUGGGGCUUAUUCAAUUAUCAUUGAAUGUAUCUUUUCGUUUUUUCUUUUCUCUUUCCUAGGUCUUUUAUGGACUUCAAUUUUUGAAGUGUAUAAUCGACCUUCACUCGAUAUACCCUUUGUCGAAUUUCUUAAUAAAAUCUUGUUGCUUAUAAAAAAAAAAAAAUUUUUGAACAUCAAA